rnacentral:rRNA from 1 species
GAUGAACGCUGGCGGCGUGCUUAACACAUGCAAGUCGAACGGAAAGGCCCAAGCUUGCUUGGGUACUCGAGUGGCGAACGGGUGAGUAACACGUGGGUGAUCUGCCCUGCACUUCGGGAUAAGCCUGGGAAACUGGGUCUAAUACCGGAUAGGACGAUGGUUUGGAUGCCAUUGUGGAAAGUUUUUUCGGUGUGGGAUGAGCUCGCGGCCUAUCAGCUUGUUGGUGGGGUAAUGGCCUACCAAGGCGUCGACGGGUAGCCGGCCUGAGAGGGUGUACGGCCACAUUGGGACUGAGAUACGGCCCAGACUCCUAAGGGAGGCAGAAGUGGGGAAUAUUGCACAAUGGGCGCCAGCCUGAUGCAGCGACGCCGCGUGGGGGAUGACGGCCUUCGGGUUGUAAACUCCUUUCGCUAGGGACGAAGCGUUUUUGUGACGGUACCUGGAGAAGAAGCACCGGCUAACUACGUG